CCUACGGGAUGCAGCAGUGAGGAAUAUUGGUCAAUGGACGGAAGUCUGAACCAGCCAUGCCGCGUGCAGGAAGACGGCUCUAUGAGUUGUAAACUGCUUUUGUACAAGGGUAAACCUGAAUACGUGUAUUCAGCUGAAAGUACUGUACGAAUAAGGAUCGGCUAACUCCGUGCCAGCAGCCGCGGUAAUACGGAGGAUCCAAGCGUUAUCCGGAUUUGUUGGGUUUAAAGGGUGCGUAGGCGGAUUGAUAAGUUAGAGGUGAAAUGUCCGAGCUUAACUCGGGAACUGCCUCUAAUACUGUUGAUCUAGAGGGUAGGUGCGGUAGGCGGAAUGUAUGGUGUAGCGGUGAAAUGCUUAGAGAUCAUACAGAACACCGAUUGCGAAGGCAGCUUACCAAUCUAUAUCUGACGUUGAGGCACGAAGGCGUGGGGAGCGAACAGGAUUAGAUACCCGAGUAGUC
rnacentral:rRNA from 1 species